rnacentral:misc_RNA from 1 species
ACUUUUUUAAAUAUUGCUUUCCGGUGCUUUUGUUUUUCUCUUUGUAUUGCUAUUACGUUUUUUCUUGCAACUUCUACCGAAUGUGUAUUUUAAAAAAAUCAACCUGUUAAUAUAUGCAAUUCUAAACUUUACACGUUGUAAAUUUCAAUUUGGAUUUCAAACAAUGUUCUGUACUUAACUUGCUGUUGACUAAUCAGUUACACUGUUAACAUUAACUACUUAGAAACCCACUAAGAACUAAGAUGAUGUCCAAAUAAGGCUAGAUCUUUAAUUAAACGACCGACCAGGUAUCUAGAUCUAAGAAUACCUAUGUGUGGUAUGUUUUAUCUCCUUGACCCCUCACUGUUUUCCAUAGCGUGUCUCGUUGACAUAUUUGUGGGAUGAUUUACCGACUCCCUGACAGGCCGCUCUGUGAAAGGCAUCCCCAUGGUCUAUAUUUGUCAACAAUUUAGUGUUCUGACUUCAGUUUUAUCUUAAGACGACACUACAAAAAUUCAUUGUAUAAGCUUCGAUAUGAGUUGUUCUAUGCUGUGUAAUUUGAACAUUUUUUUAUGUACAUAAAUAUUGUAAAGUACGCUAUGUCCUGAUUUAUUUAUUUUUUAAUUAUUUGUUAUUGGUAUUUAUUUUGUGCAUUUGAAUUGCAUAAGUCUGUGAUACAAUGUAAAUGAAAUAAAUUGUACUAAAUC